UACGGGGGGAGCAAGCGUUGUUCGGAUUUACUGGGCGUAAAGGGCGCGUAGGCGGUCGUGACAAGUCACUUGUGAAAUCUCCGGGCUUAACUCGGAACGGUCAAGUGAUACUGUCGGACUAGAGUACAGAAGGGGCAACUGGAAUUCUCGGUGUAGCGGUGAAAUGCGCAGAUAUAGGGCAGAACACCCGUGGCGAAGGCGGCUCUCUGGGACGGUUCUGACGCUGAGGUGCGAAAGCGUGGGGAGCAAACAGG
rnacentral:rRNA from 1 species